rnacentral:rRNA from 1 species
UGGGGAAUUUUGGACAAUGGGCGAAAGCCUGAUCCAGCCAUGCCGCGUGAGUGAAGAAGGCCUUCGGGUUGUAAAGCUCUUUUAGUCGGAAAGAAAGAGUUGCAAUGAAUAAUUGUGAUUUAUGACGGUACCGACAGAAAAAGCACCGGCUAACUACGUGCCAGCAGCCGCGGUAAUACGUAGGGUGCGAGCGUUAAUCGGAAUUACUGGGCGUAAAGGGUGCGCAGGCGGUCUUGCAAGUCAGAUGUGAAAGCCCCGGACUUAACCUGGGAAUUGCGUUUGAAACUACAAGGCUAGAGUGCAGCAGAGGGGAGUGGAAUUCCAUGUGUAGCAGUGAAAUGCGUAGAGAUGUGGAAGAACACCGAUGGCGAAGGCAGCUCCCUGGGUUGACACUGACGCUCAUGCACGAAAGCGUGGGGAGCAAACA